CUUUGGUCUCUUUUGGUUUUGGUGGAAAACUGAUUGUGAUGAAAGAUCAGAGUUCUUUUGGGAACUCAUCGUUUGGAAGUCAGAAUCCUGUAGGAGGUUCAAUAUCUGUGCUCAGUUUGAUGGAUGUUGUGUCUGAGAGAGUUGAUAGUUCAAGUGUUGUGAUGGGAUCAUGUGACUAUACUCGAGCUUUGUGCCAACAAUCAUUCCCUG
rnacentral:misc_RNA from 1 species